ensembl:lncRNA
GGGGGGGUUAUAUUUUCUGACUCGGGGGCUUUGUCUUUUUGCAGUAACUGAAGAGCAAUUUAAUGAGCCUUUGCUGGCUUCCCUCUUCUCUUUGCCACAGUUUUCCUCCAUCUCCUUUGCUGGUCACAAAGCCUGCUGGGGUGGGAAGGAGCAUGAGGACUCCUGGGCGUGGACUUUUGAUCAUCCUCACGUUGGUUUUCACAUUUCAGCACUCGCCACCUUGAAGACGUCCUUACAGUGCGGUUGUCAUGUCACUUUAGCUUCCCCUUCAUGUGUGCGUCAUAUCAUUUGGGACAGAGAAUGACAUGUGGAUCCGCGAUUCAGUUGUGAAAUGAAAUAUUGACUCUGCGAGCAGCAGGGGGGCCCACAGCAUGGACUCUGCCUUCUCACUGAGAGUUCUGUGAUGCUGGGAUGCGCUGUCAACCGUUCUGUGCUGAUUCGUAUCCUGUCCCUGGUCCUGACGGCCACUUUGUGCUGAGUGUAUCAAAGCACAGAGCAGUAGAAACGUUCUUCAAUUUGUUUGAAAAGUUCUUCAGAUGGGGAAUCUUCACGGUUGCUACAGAGGUAGGUUCAGUUGGCCCGUUGAAUGCUGUCCCUUCAAAUGGGCCUGUUAAUAUUUCUCAGAAUAUUAUCUCAUCAUUUUACUUUUCCCUUCUGCCUUUUGUCAUGGGGACUUAUAAAUGUGUUUUAUAGUUUUGCUUUCUCCCUCAAAUUAUACAUUUCGUUCUUCUAUCAAUCACAUUGCUUUUAAUUUUUUCUCCAUUUAGAAAAGAUAUUGUUUCCUGUUAUAUUCAGAACCCCUCACCUCCCACAUAGAUGUUCAUUGAAGAAAUAUGGAAUGUACAUUUAAUGACAUUUUUACCUUGUCAGAAACUGUUUUCAAGUAUUAAUUUCAGAGGUUUGAUGGCAGUGCGGAAUUGUGGAGAUGUGUGGGGAGGCCUUUCACCCAAUGAAGGGAACUGAGCAUCAUCUGUAACACGGCUUCUCUCUCUUUUCAUCCUGAAACAGUCAGUGAACUCAGUGUAUGUGGGGCGUGAUGCUUCCAUUCGUACGACUGGGUUUCCAGAUCGUAUUAUUAGAAUGCGUGUCUAGGGGUCAGUUUGUGAAGUCAAACACAUUUAUUUUUAUACCUUCAGGGUUUCCAAAAAUGCUCAUUUUAUGGGACUGGCCUGGUGGGGUAGUAGUUAAGCUUGCAAGCUCCACUUUGGCAGCCUGGAGUUUGUGGGUUCAGAUCCCAGGCAUGGACAGGUGCACCGCUCAUCAGGCCAUGCUGUGGUGGAGGCCCAUAUACAAAGUGCAGACAGAUUGGCACGGAUUUUAGCUCAGGGACCAUCUUCCCCAAGCAAAAAGAGGAAGAUUGGCGAUGGAUGAUGGCUCAGGGACAGUCUUCCUCACAAAAAAGAAAUUCUCAUUUUACAGAGCUAUCAGUUAUAUGUUAUCACUCCACCCAUUUGCAACACCAGAGUGACUUGCAACCUGUCUUAAUUUUGAACCACCUACAUUCUUGAGGAAAUAAUGUAAGAGGCAACUGCUUCACAGGUUUUAGAAUACAUGGCUUUUUAAUAGAUAAUCUCACUUUUCUUGUCACCUGGUGUUCAUCUUAUUUGACCAGAUGGCUGUCAACCCUGAGUGAGGCCCAUGGAUCCCGAAGGUGGAUCCCACUUUUUUUCUGGAGUGUCCUCUGACUCUCCAGGAGGCAGUCACCAACAGCAUUUCUGACACUUUCUUAUGAGUUCUUAAAACUGGGUUAGGGUUAAGAUAAAGCAGUUCCUUCUAGACAAAGCAGAUGUGUCUCAUAGAAAGAAUGAGAAGUCAGAAUCUGAGAAUUGAGAAUCCUGAGCUUGAAUGCAGCAGUGUUUUUAAGUUGUGAGAUCUGGGCCAUUAACUUCACCAUCAUUAACCUUCCUGAGUAUCUAUACUGCACACUUUACAUACAUUAAAUCCUUUCAUAUGCACGAUAGGCAUAUGUCAUGGUUUGAUUACUAUCGUCACUCCCUGGGUGGAGAAAUAAAGGUACAGAGACGAAUAUGCCCAAGUGGAUGAGCUCUGAAGUAGAACAGUUAAGAUGUGACCUCAGACAUGGGGUCCCAACGCUGAAGCUCAGAACCACUGACCCACACUUAUCUCUCAGCCAUGGGAACCUUAGUCUGCAUGCAAGAGAUUUCCAGCACAUGUGAAUAUGCCUGGGAUUACUUGAGUCCACGGAAAUCCUAAACACUGUCCACUUUACAAGGUAGCAUCAGUGGUCACAGAGCCCAGGGCAGCCAUCAGUACCUAAUAGCGCAGUUUUGGCAUAGUCAUCAGUGAGGAAGGCACAUAGGAAAUUCAAAUGCUUUGGAUCAGUUCCCAGAUCCUGCGAUUUAACAGCAUCACUUGGGACAACUGAACAAAGUCUGUCAGUUCUCAGUCGCUCCUCAGCAUGUGUCCCAGAUCUACUAAAAAUGGGGGAGAUUCUCUUGGGGUAUUUGAUGUCAUUCUAACUAUGAUCCCAAGAAAUGUGGAAAUCUCAUAACAUACACAUUCUGGGAACAAUGACAAAGUAGAUCUCGAAGUACCACUUAGUAGCCUCCAUGUCACCCUCUUGCCUCUCCCUUGUACAGAUGGGUUAAAGAGCCUCAGUGCUCAGCAGGGGCUGCUCCCCGUCAUGCCUUAUCCAUUGAUGGUUGUCCGGUCUGUACGUACACAGCCACCCACACAAUGAAGCAAACACAUGGCACAGGAAAGGAAGACUGUAAGGAAAAUGACCUAAUAAUCCACAGGAGCAAUUUUUAAAGGAGGAUUGAAAGUCCUGCCACAGCAAAACAGAAUUUUGGUCCUGCCAUACCGCAGGGUGCAUCCAAAUGACUCCCUGGAAGGUACUGUGGAAAUUCAGUCAUUCAGUUGAUUCAAGAUUAAUAAUGGCAGCUUAUUUAAUUUCCCCUAUGUUAGAUAAAACUAUAAAAAGGCUAAACCAUCUUCUUUUUUUUGUAUGUGAAAAUUUCAUUUCGCCUAGUCUGACAGUGCUCCUACCACCACAGAAUUAAAGAGGCAUUGAAGUCUCAAGUUUGGUUAACACGUCAUAGUAGACAACAUUUCGAGCUGAUGUCUAGACGUUAUCUGAUUGUUGAGCAUUGGCAAAAUCACAUCUCUCCCUGAGACAGUGAUGCCGGAUUAUGUUUUUUAAUUAAUAGCUUGUCGUAUUGAGAAGAGGUUUAGAGUGACAU